GGGAGGUAGUGACAAUAAAUAACAAUACGGGGCUCUUUCGGGUCUCGUAAUUGGAAUGAGUACAAUUUAAAUCCCUUAACGAGGAACAAUUGGAGGGCAAGUCUGGUGCCAGCAGCCGCGGUAAUUCCAGCUCCAAUAGCGUAUAUUAAAGUUGUUGCAGUUAAAAAGCUCGUAGUUGAAUUUCGGGAUUGACGUGACGGUCGUGCCUUAAGGGGUAUGAACUGUUGCAGUCAAUUUCUCACCUUCUGGAGAAAUAUGAUGUCCUUAAUUGGGUGUCAUAUGGAACCAGAACUUUUACCUUGAAAAAAUUAGAGUGUUUAAAGCAAGCUUAUUGCUCGAAUACAUUAGCAUGGAAUAAUAAAAUAGGACGGCAUGAUUCUAUUUUGUUGGUUUCUAGGAUCACCGUAAUGAUUAAUAGGGAUAGUUGGG
rnacentral:rRNA from 1 species